UACGUAGGCAGCAAGCGUUGUUCGGAGUUACUGGGCGUAAAGGGUGCGUAGGCGGUCCUAUAAGUAUGGUGUGAAAUCUCCCGGCUUAACUGGGAGGGUGCGCUAUAGACUGUGGGACUAGAGUGUGGGAGAGGAAAGUGGAAUCCUGGUGUAGCGGUGAAAUGCGUAGAUAUCAGGAGGAACACCGGUGGUGUAAACGGCUUUCUGGACCAUAACUGACGCUGAGGCACGAAAGCGUGGGGAUCAAACAGGA
rnacentral:rRNA from 1 species